rnacentral:rRNA from 1 species
AAAGGCGAAAAGAACCCCUGUAAGGGGAGUGAAAUAGAACCUGAAACCAUAAACUGACAAGAUGUCACAGCCCGCAAGGGUAGUGGCGUGUCUUUUGUAGAAUAAACCUGCGAGUUGCGUUAUGCAGCGAGGAUAAGAAAUAGAAGUUUUGGAUCCGAAGCGAAAGCGAGUCUGAAAAGGGCGAUAAGUUGCAUGACGCAGACCCGAAGCCAAGGUGAUCUAGUCAUGAGCAGGUUGAAGCAGGGGUAAAACCCUGUGGAGGACCGAACAGUAAUCUGUUAAAAAAGGUAGUGAUGACUUGUGACUAGGAGUGAAAGGCUAAACAAACCUGGAAAUAGCUGGCUCUCCCCGAAAUGCCUUUAGGGACAGCCUCAUAAAAAGUUACCGGAGGUAAAGCACUGGAUGGAAAAGGGGGAGUUAAAUCUUUCCGAUUUCAAUCAAACUCUGAAUGCCGGUAACCAGCUUAUGGGAGUGAGACUGCGUGCGCCAAGGUUCGUAGUCGAAAGGGAAACAGCCCAAACCGGCAAUUAAGGUCCCAAAUUUAUGCUAAGUGUUAAAUGAAGUGAAGAUGCACAGACAGCCAGGAGGUUGGCUUAGAAGCAGCCAUUCCUUAAAAGAGUGCGUAACAGCUCACUGGUCGAGCAUCCGUGCGCAGACAAUGUAACGGGGCUUAAGCAUUAUACCGAAGAUCCGGAAUCAUGCCGUAAGGUAUGAUUGGUAGGGGAGCAUUCCAUUAACCGAAGAAGAAGUACCUGUGAGGGGCUUUGGAGGAGAUGGAAGAGAGAAUGCAGGCAUAAGUAACGAAAAGACGGGUGAGAUUCCCGUCCGCCGAAAACCUAAGGUUUCCAGGGUAAAGGCAAUCUGCCCUGGGUAAGUCGGCCCCUAAGACGAGGACGAAAGUCGUAGCCGAUGGGAAACUGGUUUAUAAUCCAGUACUUAUUGAGUUUUGAUGGAAUGACGCAUGAGGUGAAAUCCGGCCGGGCGACGGUUGUCCCGGUCAAAGCAGCAAGUUUAUGAGGUUCUGGUUAAAAGAAGAACUGAGAUGAGCUGUGACAGCGAGGAACCAGAAAGUGGGACUGAAGCGGACGUAAUCAUGGUGACGAGAAAUAGUUCCUAAGUAAGGCUUAGUAAACCGUACCGGAAACCGACACAGGUAGGUAGGAUGAGUAAUCUAAGGCGCUCGAGCGAACUCGCGUUAAGGAACUCGGCAAAAUGCGCACGUAACUUCGGAAGAAGUGCGGCUCCCUUUAGAAAUACAGGGAGUGACACAAAGCAGGCCCAGGCGACUGUUUAUCAAAAACACAGCCAUCUGCGAACCAGCAAUGGGACGUAUAGGUGGUGACACCUGCCCGGUGCCGGAAGGUUAAGGGGAGGGGUUAGCAGCAAUGCGAAGCUCUGAACUGAAGCCCCGGUAAACGGCGGCCGUAACUAUAACGGUCCUAAGGUAGCGAAAUUCCUUGUCGGGU